rnacentral:rRNA from 1 species
GGAAAGAUUUAUCGGUUAUGGAUGGUCUCGCGGCCUAUCAGCUUGAUGGUGGGGUAAUGGCCUACCAUGGCAAUGACGGGUAACCGGCCUGAGAGGGUGACCGGUCACACUGGAACUGAGACACGGUCCAGACUCCUACGGGAGGCAGCAGUGGGGAAUAUUGCACAAUGGGCGCAAGCCUGAUGCAGCGACGCCGCGUGAAGGAUGACGGCCUUCGGGUUGUAAACUUCUUUUAACGGGGAAGAAGCGUAAGUGACGGUACCUGUUGAAUAAGCACCGGCUAACUACGUGCCAGCAGCCGCGGUAAUACGUAGGGUGCAAGCGUUGUCCGGAAUUAUUGGGCGUAAAGAGCUCGUAGGCGGUUUGUCGCGUCUGCUGUGAAAGACCGGGGCUUAACCCCGGUUCUGCAGUGGGUACGGGCAGGCUAGAGUGUGGUAGGGGAGAAUGGAAUUCCUGGUGUAGCGGUGGAAUGCGCAGAUAUCAGGAAGAACACCGAUGGCGAAGGCAGUUCUCUGGGCCACUACUGACGCUGAGGAGCGAAAGCGUGGGGAGCGAACAGGAUUAGAUACCCUGGUAGUCCACGCCGUAAACGGUGGGCACUAGAUGUGGGAAUUUUUCUACGGUUUCCGUGUCGCAGCUAACGCAUUAAGUGCCCCGCCUGGGGAGUACGGUCGCAAGGCUAAAACUCAAAGGAAUUGACGGGGGCCCGCACAAGCGGCGGAGCAUGCGGAUUAAUUCGAUGCAACGCGAAGAACCUUACCAAGGCUUGACAUAUGCCAGACAGGGUCAGAGA